AUAUUGCACAAUGGGGGAAACCCUGAUGCAGCGACGCCGCGUGAGUGAAGAAGUAUUUNGGUAUGNANAGCUCUGUCAUUGGGGANGCAUAAAUUACGGUACCCAAUGAGGAAGCCCCGGCUAACUACGUGCCAGCAGCCGCGGUAAUACGUAGGGGGCGAGCGUUGGCCGGAAUUACUGGGCGUAAAGGGUACGUAGGCGGCUAUAUAAGUCUGGUGUGAAAUACCAGUGCUUAACACUGGAAUUGCAUUUGAAACUGUGUAGCUUGAGUGCAGGAGAGGAAAGUGGACUUCCUAGUGUAGCGGUGAAAUGCGUAGAGAUUAGGAGGAACACCAGUGGCGAAGGCGACUUUCUGGACUGUAACUGACGCUGAGGUACGAAAGCGUGGGUAGCGAACA
rnacentral:rRNA from 1 species